GUUGUCUCACAAGAAGUGCCUCUUGGGAAGAGGUGAAAUGUCAGAGAGGACAUCCUAGGAAGAGGGGAAAGCUGAGCCCUCAGCCAAAUCUUAUAACUGCUACUGAAUGAGGCUGCAUCACUUUCAUUACUGCACUAGUGGGACCUGUGGGAAAUGAGGAAUCUUGCAGAGUGGUGAAGAGAAGAGUGAAGCCUGACCCUCCAUAGUCUAUCGGAUCCAGCACAGCUGCAUUUUCUCACUCCUGAGGACCGGACAAGUUUCCUGAGGCCUGGGCUGAUAUUCUGUACCAUCUUUGGUGCAGCUGUAAUUUUAACAGGGAGAGCCAACUUGAACCUCUCUAAUGCUUACUCCAGACACCUUGUACUCCUGAGACUGAUGAUGAAUCUGAAGCACAGACAGGUCAUGAAACUUUCUGAAGAACACAUGCAUGAUAAGUGGCCGAGCCAAAAACUGAAGCCACGCAGAUCAAUUAUGCUUCAUCUUUUUUUUGUAAGAGCUUAUCCCAGUAUCAGCCAGCAUGAAGUCUGAGGAGGGAAGAAAACGUUUUGUAUUGACUCUUGUAGCCCCUCACUCAAGGUGCUUCAGUGCAUACUUAUGACUGAAGGAAGGU